CGGGAGGCAGCAGUGAGGAAUAUUGGACAAUGGGCGAAAGCCUGAUCUACGGGAGGUUGCGGUUCUACAGGAAGGGCAGUAAGUUCAAUACCUUGCUGUUUUGACGUUACCGACAGAAUAAGCACCGGCUAACUUCGUGCCAGCAGCCGCGGUAAUA
rnacentral:rRNA from 1 species